AUUGAACGCUGGCGGCAUGCCUUACACAUGCAAGUCGAACGGUAACAGGUCUUCGGAUGCUGACGAGUGGCGAACGGGUGAGUAAUACAUCGGAACGUGCCCGAUCGUGGGGGAUAACGAAGCGAAAGCUUUGCUAAUACCGCAUAAGAUCUAAGGAUGAAAGCAGGGGACCGCAAGGCCUUGCGCGAACGGAGCGGCCGAUGGCAGAUUAGGUAGUUGGUGGGAUAAAAGCUUACCAAGGCGACGAUCUGUAGCGGGUCUGAGAGGAUGAUCCGCCACACUGGAACGGAGACACGGUCCAGACUCCUACGGGAGGCAGCAGUGGGGAAUUUUGGACAAUGGGCGCAAGCCUGAUCCAGCAAUGCCGCGUGCAGGAUGAAGGCCUUCGGGUUGUAAACUGCUUUUGUACGGAACGAAACGGUGAGCUCUAAUACAGUUUGCUAAUGACGGUACCGUAAGAAUAAGCACCGGCUAACUACGUGCCAGCCGCCGCCGUAACAC
rnacentral:rRNA from 1 species